rnacentral:lncRNA from 1 species
CCCAAGGGGAUGAGUCUUUUAAGACCCGUGAGUUUAACUUCACUACGAAGACAAAAGACAAGUAUAAUCACAAGCAUUACAUAUCGAAAUUUAUUGGAGCGUAUUUGGACAGUUUUCGGCAUUCAUAGGAUCAAACGAGUGGGCAUUUGGGACGCUUUGGAAUUUAAGCAAAAAAACACAUCUAUAUGCUACUAGACCACUAAGAAUGAGUACUCAAAAAAUCAAAGCUUACUAGGUGUCAAAAGUACUCAACUUUUUUCUUUUUGGAGUGUAUUUGGACUGUUUCGGCAUUCAUAGGAUCAAACGAGCGUCGUGUGACACAUUUCAGAACUUAUGCAAAUAAACACAUAUAAUAUGCUACUAGACUUUUGAGAAUGAGUACAAAGGAUGAAAAGCUUAUUAGGUGUCAAAAGUAUACAAUUUUUCUUUGUGGAGCAUAUUUGGAUUGUUUUCGACAUUCAUGAGAUCAAACGAGCAUGCGUUUGACAUAAUUUGAAAGUUAAACAAGUAAGCACAUCUAAUAUGCUACCAAACCACUAAGAAUAAGUACUCAAAAGAUCAAAAAUUUCAAGAGAGCAACAGACUGAUAUUCUUACUCAUGGAGUAUCUAGUAAAGUGUUUCAAGACUCACUUAUCAAGUUGGGCAUGCUCGUAUCUAUGCACCAACUUUAGGAGGAGUAUUGAUUUUCAUAUAAAUAUUCUAGGAGUCCUAUGUUUGGUAGGUUUAGGAUUUGUAAUUAA